GACGAACGCUGGCAGCGUGCCUAAUACAUGCAAGUCGAGCGAAUGACGAGAAGCUUGCUUCUCUGAUUUAGCGGCGGACGGGUGAGUAACACGUGGGCAACCUGCCCUACAGAUUGGGAUAACUCAGGGAAACCUGGGCUAAUACCGGAUAAUCCUUCGAAUCACAUGUUUUGAAGUUGGAAGGCGCUUCGGCGUCACUGUAGGAUGGGCCCGCGGUGCAUUAGCUAGUUGGUGGGGUAACGGCCUACCAAGGCAACGAUGCAUAGCCGACCUGAGAGGGUGAUCGGCCACAUUGGGACUGAGACACGGCCCAAACUCCUACGGGAGGCAGCAGUAGGGAAUCUUCCACCAUGGACGAAAGUCUGAUGGAGCAACGCCGCGUGAGUGAUGAAGGUUUUCGGAUCGUAAAACUCUGUUGUAAGGGAAGAACAAGUACGUUAGGAAAUGAACGUACCUUGACGGUACCUUAUUAGAAAGCCACGGCUAACUACGUGCCAGCAGCCGCCGCAG
rnacentral:rRNA from 1 species